GCUGCUUGGCUUAGGGAUCAGCCCUGCCCCCAGGACACUUAAGGAUGAGACAGAGCAGGCAGAAAAGGAAACAUUUCUGACAAUGUUCUGUUAUGAAGAAUCCACCUUUCCUAGAAGCCCCAGCAAACCUCCCAUCGGACUCAUAGGUGCAAACUGGCUGAAAGGCUCAUUCCAAGACCAAGCACAGGUACAAGGGCCAAAACUGGCUAGAACAGGCAUGACUCACCUUUUCAGCUUCUCAGUCAUCUCCUCUCAAGGGCACAGGUCUGUUUGGUUGGUUUGUGAAUAAAACUGGGGGACUGUUAUUAUGGAAGAAGCAGUGAUAAGACCCUUUCCAUAAAGAGGAGAGACGUGAACUGGCAUAUAUCACCAGGACCACCUCCAAGUAAUUGACUAAUAAAUAAAAGCU
rnacentral:lncRNA from 10 species